UGGGGAAUAUUGCACAAUGGGCGAAAGCCUGAUGCAGCGACGCCGCGUGAGGGAUGACGGCCUUCGGGUUGUAAACCUCUUUCAGUAGGGAACAAGGCCAGCAUUUUUGUUGGUUGAGGGUACUUGCAGAAGAAGCGCCGGCUAACUACGUGCCAGCAGCCGCGGUAAUACGUAGGGCGCAAGCGUUAUCCGGAAUUAUUGGGCGUAAAGAGCUCGUAGGCGGUUUGUCGCGUCUGCCGUGAAAGUCCGGGGCUCAACUCCGGAUCUGCGGUGGGUACGGGCAGACUAGAGUGAUGUAGGGGAGACUGGAAUUCCUGGUGUAGCGGUGAAAUGCGCAGAUAUCAGGAGGAACACCGAUGGCGAAGGCAGGUCUCUGGGCAUUAACUGACGCUGAGGAGCGAAAGCAUGGGGAGCGAACAGG
rnacentral:rRNA from 2 species